rnacentral:rRNA from 1 species
CUAAUUGCAUUAUAUGUAAUAAUGAUUAUGUCAUAUAAAAUUCUAAGCAUAAUUUUGAUAAUGACAAAAUAUGUCUAAAGGUCUUGACCAAUUCACGUGCCAGCAGUCGCGGUAACACGUGUAAGACUAGUGUUAUUCAUCUUUAAUAGGUUUAAAGGGUACCUAAACGGUAAAAUAAGCCAAAAAGGGACUAUUUUACUAGAGUUUAAUAAGAGGGGGUAGUACGGCAGGUGUAGUGAUGAAAUACAAUCAUAUCUGAGGGACUGUUAACGGCGAAAGCGAUCCUUUAUAUAAAAACUGACGUUGAGGGACGAAGGCUAUGCACCACCAAAAGGAUUAGAAACCCAAGUAGUCUUAGCAGACAAUGAUGAAUGCCAUAAACAAGAUUAAUUAAUUUUGUUUAUAAAUGAAAGUGUAAGCAUUUCACCUCAAGAGUAAUGUGGCAACGCAGAAACUGAAAUCAUUAGGCCGCUUCUGAAACCAGUAGUGAAGUAUGUUGUUUAAUUUGAUGACCCGCAAAUAACCUCACCACAAUUUGAAUAUUAUAUAUAUAUAUAUAU